GGAAACCCUUCCGUUCCUCAAAAAAAAAAGGAGAAACAGAGCAGCCACAAAUCAAGUGGUCACAAAAAGCGACGUCACAAACGUCAAAAAUCACCAACACAUGCAUCAGCUUCCGUGAACCCAGUGAGUGAGGAAGUCCAGGUAGAAGGACUGCAAGUCUUGAAAAUCAUCUUCAAGAGUUAAGGGGUACUCUUGCCUCUCUUGAAGUUCCAGUGGCAACAGCAGACACAACGUGGACACAAUGUCAGUUACUCGCUGGAGUAAGAGCAAAGGAAGCAAGGCCAGUACUCCUUGAAGCCAAACUCUCGGCACAGAGAGCCAUGAUGCCAUGAGGUGCAGGCCGUGAUUCGAUGUUUGGAGUGUGUCCCACUGGACUUCGAAUACCUCUGUGGCAAGUGUGACAAAGAGAUCCACAGGAGGCAAAUCUUCCAUGAUAGGAUGGCAAUAUUUCAUGGCUACCUAGAGCCUAUUCCACCAACAAAAGCUGUUGUGGUGGAUGGGAAUGGCCUGCCUCACUUUUGUGAGCAGGGUAUGUUCAUCCAACAUUUUCCAUAAACUAGUUAAGAGUAAUUCCACAAAUAUUGUCUGAUGAUCUAUAACUUUAAAGAGGUGUGUGAACUUGCAAGCACGAUGUCAGACAAUGUAAUAUGCUAUGGUCCCCUCGCUGCUUACCGUGGUGAUGCAUAGCAGAUUGUCAUCACUCAAUGGCUGGAUGUCUAAGUG